rnacentral:rRNA from 1 species
AUUGAACGCUGGCGGCAUGCCUUACACAUGCAAGUCGAACGGCAGCACGGGUGCUUGCACCUGGUGGCGAGUGGCGAACGGGUGAGUAAUACAUCGGAACAUUUCCUGUAGUGGGGGAUAGCCCGGCGAAAGCCGGAUUAAUACCGCAUACGAUCUACGGAUGAAAGCGGGGGACCUUCGGGCCUCGCGCUAUAGGGUUGGCCGAUGGCUGAUUAGCUAGUUGGUGGGGUAAAGGCCUACCAAGGCGACGAUCAGUAGCUGGUCUGAGAGGACGACCAGCCACACUGGGACUGAGACACGGCCCAGACUCCUACGGGAGGCAGCAGUGGGGAAUUUUGGACAAUGGGCGAAAGCCUGAUCCAGCAAUGCCGCGUGUGUGAAGAAGGCCUUCGGGUUGUAAAGCACUUUUGUCCGGAAAGAAAUCCUUGGCCCUAAUACGGUCGGGGGAUGACGGUACCGGAAGAAUAAGCACCGGCUAACUACGUG